rnacentral:sRNA from 1 species
UCCUUCGACAAGCUUCCUCAAUAGAGGAGGAGCAUCCUUCAGUCAAGGGUAUAUGAGGAGCUGCGCUCCCCUCCUAGAACCUUCAAACAAGCUCUCAAGAAAUGAGCUAUCAAGCCAUGAAGAGAAAC